AUUUUUAGUUAAGAGAGUCAGUCCUAAGCUUUGAAUAAUUUUUCAAACACUAUGUUACCAGUAUUGCUUUUUUUUCAAUUCUACUAUUUUUUAAAAAAUAGUUUUCAUAAUCACGUGUUAUGUAUGCACUGUAAUAACUCUUGAGUCCGCGGUUUUUCAAAUCAAGAAAAUAAAUUACAAUAAAAAUAAUUUUCGCUCAGCGUACAAUAUAAUAGAUCACUGAUUGCAACUCUAUCGAGAUUAUGCAGUCUAUUGACUAAGAUCUAUAUUAACAUUGAUAUGAAAAAGUGUAUGAAAAGUAAAUACUGUCGGUGGUAAAUUUAAUUACCGUACUGUGAAUGCCAACGUGGGUUGUUAAUUGUAUGAACAUAACAUCUCCACAAAGCCAAUAGAUGUAGCAUAAUAGUAUCACUGUUUGCUCGAAAAAAAGACAUAUAAAGUAUCGGGGGAAAGUAUUUACCUCAAAUGGAUAACUUAUCGGAUAUACAAUUAUAGAAAAAUUAAAAAAAUAUUCAUCUCUAUGAGACAAAAAAUGACUGCAGAGUAUCCUAUAAAAAAAUAAAUAUUAUAAGAAAAAUUAAAUGAAUUUACUUGGGGCGUACGAAUAAUUGGAACUAAUCCGAAAAUUCAAAUUAUCUGUAUAGAGUUGAAGCACCGGUUUAGGACACGAAACCUUUUUCUGGAUACUUUCUACUUUAUUUUGAUGUAUUAAGAAUAUAAAAAAUAUUGUUAUUGCAACACUUAUAAUUAAAGUAUCUUCAAGUAUGAUAUAAAUAUGUAAGAUGUUUUCGCGUAUUCUAUAAAUUGCCCUAUCGAAAUUCUAUAGUUUUCAAAACAGGCGCAAGAGUAAUAUCAAUAGUUAUAAUAUUUAUGAGCGCAACUGUUAAAAAAUAGAGCAUCAAACUCAGUAUUAAAAUCCCAAAAAGUGGGGUAAUUUUUUCCCACCAUUUUUCCC